GAGACAGCAGUAGCCGCGGGAAUACAGAGGGUGCAAGCGUUAAUCGGAAUUACUGGGCGUAAAGCGCGCGUAGGUGGUUUGUUAAGUUGGAUGUGAAAGCCCCGGGCUCAACCUGGGAACUGCAUCCAAAACUGGCAAGCUAGAGUACGGUAGAGGGUGGUGGAAUUUCCUGUGUAGCGGUGAAAUGCGUAGAUAUAGGAAGGAACACCAGUGGCGAAGGCGACCACCUGGACUGAUACUGACACUGAGGUGCGAAAGCGUGGGGAGCAAACAGGAUUAGAUACCCCCGUAGUCCCUGUCUCUUAUAC
rnacentral:rRNA from 1 species